rnacentral:tRNA from 1 species
CAGAAUAAAAUGUGGAAGAAAAUGCCAGCUUUGGGAGUUGGUGAUAAAGGUUUGAUUCCUUUUUUUCUGA